rnacentral:rRNA from 1 species
GACGAACCGUGCGAACGUUGUUCGGAAUCACUGGGCUUAAAGGGCGCGUAGGCGGGUCGAAAAGUCCGUGGUGAAAUCCCCCCGCUCAACGGGGGAACGGCCGCGGAUACUGUCGGCCUCGAGGGGGGUAGGGGCGAGCGGAACGCUGGGUGGAGCGGUGAAAUGCGUUGAUAUCCAGCGGAACUCCGGUGGCGAAGGCGGCUCGCUGGGCCCUCUCUGACGCUGAGACGCGAAAGCGUGGGGAGCAAACAGG